UGAAUUUUCACAUCCAAUUCUUAAUCAACACAAGAGGCUGGACUUUCCUACACUAUUCCUACAAUGUGUGGGUUCAAUGUUCAUUAUGAGCUGCCUGUUGUCAUACACACUCUGCUCUAGACCAAUCGAAAUAUACCCAGUUUUGUCCAGAAGUAAUGGGUGGAUUAAUUGGUCUCCUUAUCUGCUCUUCCUCUAUUUGGGCCUUUCUAGAAAAAGCAUUGAAUGGAAUGUUUCAUAUAAACCAUCUAUUGUUUGCAGCAACAAAAAA